ensembl:Mt_tRNA
CAGAGUGUAGCUAAAUAGAAAAGCACCUCCCUUACACUGAGAAGACACCUGUGCAAAUCAGGUCACCCUGA